CUUCAGCGAAAAGUAGGCUGACCUGUUAGCAGAAAACCCCGUGAAGAAAAUCACAUCGAUAUUAUAAGGUGGAUCACGAUCUAGAAGGACCCCCCCCACCCCUCUCCAAACACGCCAGCCAGAGGGCGCCCCUGCAUGAAGAGUGAACAGGAAAUGUAUGUUCUCUUGGAAAUUCUUACAUCUUGUGGCGGUCAAUCAUGGGCACAAAAAUCUAUCAAAAAAUAUGAAACUAGUGUGAUUGCAUCAUUCACUGUUGAUCAGUCCUUAUGAAAUCUGGAAAAGAAAAAUACUUGACAGAGGGCAACGUUCAAGCUAUAUUUAAUUAGAUACUUUUGAUGAACAAAAAAUAAUAAAGUGUACCUGGAUAUCAAACUAUAUUUCUUCAGAAAGGAAAUCUUCAUUUCAACAAA